AAAACCCUAACGCCAUUUCUCCCCUUCCUCCCUGAUUUCUCUGCACAACCCGAGAGAGAGCGACGGUCCCCAUGAGUACUCCGGCGAUGGCAAGCCACUGGCCAAAAGAAAAAGAGAGAGAGAGUGAGGAGACCAGAGCGAGAAAAUCAGAAGAGGGAGGCACAGCUGAGCUGCCUUUGGUUGGCUCGCCAGCGCAUGCACGCAUAGGAAGUGCGCGUGCAGCUCCGUCGAGCCAAUAUGAGGUGGCGCCCAUGAGGAGGCGACGUGCGCAUGGCUAAAUGAGCAGCGACCAUCAACGUGCGAGCAGCGACGGAGACGCUCAACUGAGGAGAUCCGCGCGCACGUCACAAAUGCCGAGGAGCCACCGGAGAAGAAGGGCAAGAGGACUUCGGCGAGCUCCACGGCGACCAUGUCAGUGUGAUUAAGGAAUGGUGCCCAAAAGUUGCUUGGCAUCCUGAUUGCUAUUGGGGAAGCAGUGGCAUAUGUUCUGUUUGGAAUGUAUGGUAGUAUAAGUCAACAUGGAACUGGGAAUGCUUUUCUCAUUAUACUCCAACUCUCUUUUGCUGGUAUCAUUGUCAUUUGCCUGGAUGAGCUUCUCCAGAAGGGAUAUGGUUUGGGUUCUUGCAUUUCUAUGUUUGUUGCCACUAAUAUCUAGUAUGCAUGACAAGUGGGUUCCAACUGUUGAUUACUAGAGCUGACAAAGUCCUAAUCUCAAUAUUUUAUUCAAAAGUAAAAUUAAUAUUGAUACUUGAUAUUGACUAUUGCCAUUACUUGUAUAAUGAUUUUAAAGUAUAUUAAACUAAUAAAAACAAGGAAACUAGAAGAAAGGAUUGGGUUUGUUAGCAUUAAAGAACUAAUAUUUUACUUUCAUAUAAAUGGUUGUUGUUAGUUUCCUGUCAGCUAUGACACUGAAACCCCGCAUGACUGACCCGUGUUAUUGGUUCUCUGAUUUCUCAGUGAAAAUCACAUCCAAGAUAUGGCUUGACACUAAUAAGAUUACACAAAAUUAGUGAUUUGGACAUCUUUUAUGUUGCCCUUUCAAUCUUUUACAAAUGCAAAAGAAAGAAACAUUAUUAAGAUAUCUGUUGAAUAUGUUCCAAAAAGGGGAUCAUGACUGCAAAACUUGAACUUUUAUUCUGUUUAUGCUCAAAGCCCUCGGUUACAACCAUGCUCAUUUGGGACAUUAGGCUAAAACUCAUAUGUUCGUGAGGCCUUCUAACGCUAGAAUCUUCCCAAUGUAACCAACUUGCUUGCCACUAUGUUGGUCUUUCUCAUAGUUAUCUACUUCCUAGGCUUCCGUGUUGUGCUUCCAGUUAGAUCGAAAAAUGCUUGUGGACAGCAAGGCUCAUAUCCUAUUAAACUAUUAUACACUUCUAACAUGCCCAUCAUUCUGCAUUCUACACUUAUUACUAACCUCUACUUCAUAUCCCAGGUAUAUAUACUUGAAAUUAAUGCAUGGCAAUUUAUGUCAUUUUGUUCAAGUGAUAACAUGUAGUUUAUUGCUGUGACUGCGGCUCUAUAGGAAGUACAGUGGAAAUUUCUUGGUAAACUUCCUUGGGAAAUGGAAGGAAUCCGAGUAUUCUGGGCACUCUAUUCCUGCUGGAGGUCUUGCUUACUAUGUCACUACCCCUUCAAGCUAAUUUUGGCUAUUCUUAUCUUCCCUUUCAUUCACAGGAGUGUUUCUCUCACUGGCUAGCUCUCCCCUUUCAUUCACAGGAGUGUUUCUCUCACUGUCUAGCUCUCUUUCGGACCACUACUUGUUUUUCUUUUGGAUAUAUUCCAUCUACAUUAUUAAGUGUUACUAACUGCUGAUGUGCUUGCAAAUCCAUUCCAUUCGCUGUUAUAUGUGGUUUUCAUGCUGUCUACUUGCGCACUCUUCUCAAAGAUAUAGAUUGAAGUCUCUGGUUCAUCAGCCAAGGAUGUUGCUAAGCAGCUCAAGGUAACCAAUAUGCAUAAAUGUUUAGUUAGUUACUAUGAUCUGUUUGAGUAGCACCUUGUAAAUCCUUUAGGCAAGUUAUGGCAUUUCUCCUGUAUUUGAUUGUGGCAUUGACAUGGGAAAAUUGGGUGUUUUCAUCACCAAAUUUGACCCAGUUAUUCUGCCAAAAUAAAGUAAUAUAAAUUUGCAGUAUGACUUGGUGCUUUAUCUUAUUGAAAACCUUUUCAAAGUCUAGGUUUAGAAUUACUUGUUCCCUCCUCGAUUACAAGUCCAUGUUUAGUUGGCGAUUUUUGAUAUAAUAAUAUCAUUUUUACCUAUUCAGAUACACGAUGAAUGUUUAUAUCGUUCUUCAAUGGUAAUCACAUUUAGCCAAUUUGGUUGCCAAAUAAGAUGGUCUAGCACUGCCUAACCCACUUAAUAUAUCAAGAAAUAGAAUAAAUUAACCCAUCACUAAUCGUACUCAUCAAUGGGUCAUACGGUGCACUAUUGCACCAACGGCGUGCUAUUUUCUAGUUGAAUAUUUAGUCAUGUCAUUGAUGAGCUGAUUUAAAAUAGCAUUUUCUGUCCACUCAUCUAUAGCUUAUUGUGAUUACGAUUGAAGCAGUUCGAUUAGAUUUGCUAGAAGAUUCAUUCGUUGGAGUGUUGUGGCAAGCCCUCUUCAAACAAUCUCCCGAAAGAAUCUUGUGAUAUAUCUGAAAAUAAUAUUAGAUUUGCUAGAAGAUUCUUUCUAGUUGAAUAUCUAGUCAUGUCAUUGGUGAGCUUAUUUAAAUAGCAUUUUCUGUCCACUCAUCUAUAACUUAUUGUGAUAUAUCUGAAAUUGGUAGAAGAUUCACUCAGGACAGACAAUCUCCUGAAAGAAUCUUGUGAUAUAUCUGAUAAUCUGAAAUUAUAAUAUUAGAUUUGCUAGAAGAUUUGCUUUCCCCAUUGAACCUUUUUUUUCUAAUAUUAGAAAUACCACUUGUGAUAUAUCUGAAAUUAUAUGAUUUUAUUAAGUCCUUUUAUUUCACCUUAUUUUUUCUAAUAAGGGAGUAAAAUAGCAUAGAAAUAGAGGUGGCAACUGUGCACUUGAAGCCACCAUAUUACUGUGAAUCAAAUUAUGCAGCUGGCGUGACAAGCUUUUAAGCCUGUAAAUUAGAGGAGCUUUUAAGCUUUGAAGCCUGUAAAUUCAUCUGUUCCUGUAGGGAAGGGCAUGAUAGUCCAGCUGAGUGCUGGACUGUGGUGGCUGCUUGUUUGCUUCCUAGUGAGAGUCUCGAUGUUUGUACAGCAGGGCUGGGAGGAAUAGGGAUUGAUCCAAACAUGGGAGGACAAUGCAUGGGAAGGCCGUUCAUGCGCCGAAUGAGAAAUUCACUUCACAUGAGAGAGUUUGGGUGUGGAAAGGUGCAGCUGCAAUGCGAUGAAGCUCCUGACAACACGAAAAUUUGCAGCUUUGCUCCCGAACAGAUAGCACUGCAUUGGCUUGGAUUUUUUUUUAAUAUUACAUUUUUAUAGAUAUUACAGAAAUAGUACCGAAAAUGAGAAAAUUUUAAAAUAAUACCUAUUCGUCCUACCGAAUUGAGAAAUCUUA